rnacentral:rRNA from 1 species
UACGUAGGGUGCAAGCGUUGUCCGGAAUUAUUGGUCGUAAAGAGCUCGUAGGCGGUUUGUCACGUCGGAUGUGAAACCCUGAGGCUCAACCUCAGGCCUGCAUUCGAUACGGGCAGACUAGAAUUCGGCAGGGGAGACUGGAAUUCCUGGUGUAGCGGUGAAAUGCGCAGAUAUCAGGAGGAACACCGGUGGCGAAGGCGGGUCUCUGGGCCGAUAUUGACGCUGAGGAGCGAAAGCGUGGGGAGCAAACAGG